rnacentral:rRNA from 1 species
CCUACGGGAGGCAGCAGUGAGGAAUAUUGGUCAAUGGACGAGAGUCUGAACCAGCCAAGUAGCGUGAAGGAUGACUGCCCUAUGGGUUGUAAACUUCUUUUAUAUGGGAAUAAAAUGUUCCACGUGUGGGAUUUUGUAUGUACCAUAUGAAUAAGGAUCGGCUAACUCCGUGCCACCAGCCGGGGUAAUACGGAGGAUCCGAGCGUUAUCCGGAUUUAGUGGGUUUAAAGGGAGCGUAGGUGGAUUGUUAAGUCAGUUGUGAAAGUUUGCGGCUCAACCGUAAAAUUGCAGUUGAAACUGGCAGUCUUGAGUACAGUAGAGGUGGGCGGAAGUCGUGGUGUAGCGGUGAAAUGCUUAGAUAUCACGAAGAACUCCGAUUGCGAAGGCAGCUCACUGGACUGCAACUGACACUGAGGCUCGAAAGUGUGGGUAUCAAACAGGAUUAGAUACCCCGGUAGUC